UGGGGAAUAUUGCGCAAUGGGGGAAACCCUGACGCAGCAACGCCGCGUGAAGGACGAAGGUUUUCGGAUUGUAAACUUCUUUGACGCAGGACGAUAAUGACGGUACUGCGAAAACAAGCCACGGCUAACUACGUGCCAGCAGCCGCGGUAAUACGUAGGUGGCGAGCGUUGUCCGGAAUUACUGGGUGUAAAGGGCGAGUAGGCGGAUCGACAAGUCAGAUGGGAAAUACCACGGCUCAACUGUGGGGGUGCAUUUGAAACUGUAGAUCUUGAGUGAUGGAGAGGCAGGCGGAAUUCCUAGUGUAGCGGUGAAAUGCGUAGAUAUUAGGAGGAACGCCAGUGGCGAAGGCGGCCUGCUGGACAUUAACUGACGCUGAGGCGCGAAAGCGUGGGGAGCAAACA
rnacentral:rRNA from 1 species